rnacentral:rRNA from 1 species
GAGUUUGAUCAUGGCUCAGGACGAACGCUGGCGGCGUGCUUAACACAUGCAAGUCGAACGGAACUUUCGGGUUCAGUGGCAAACGGGUGAGUAACGCGUAGGUAAUCUGCCGCAAAGAUGGGGACAACAGUUCGAAAGGACUGCUAAUACCGAAUGUUGUACAGCUUUUGCAUGAAGGUUGUACCAAAGAUUUAUCGCUUUGCGAGGAGCCUGCGUCCGAUUAGGCAGUUGGCGAGGUAACGGCUCACCAAACCGACGAUCGGUAACCGGUCUGAGAGGAUGAACGGUCACAUUGGAACUGAGACACGGUCCAGACUCCUACGGGAGGCAGCAGUGGGGAAUAUUCCACAAUGGGGGGAACCCUGAUGGAGCGACGCCGCGUGAGUGAAGAAGGGUUUCGACUCGUAAAGCUCUUUUCUUCUUGACGAAUGACUAAUUGGAUUAGUAGGGACCGUAAAGAGGGAAUAAGCCACGGCUCCCCCCCCCAGCAGCCGCGGUAAUACGUAGGUGGCAAGCGUUGUCCGGAAUUAUUGGGAAGGGGGGGAGGGCGGGCGGAAAUUUAAGUCGCAAAAAAAAGUGCAGCAGUAAAAGUUGUGAUGGGUGCGAAACUGGAAUUCGUGAGAGCAGGAGAGGCAAGCGGAAUUCCCGGUGUAGCGGUGAAAUGCGUAGAGAUCGGGAGGAACACCAGUGGCGAAGGCGGCUUGCCGGACUGUAUCUGACGCUGAGGCUCGAAAGCCGGGGUAGCGAACGGGAUUAGAUACCCCGGUAGUCCCGGCUGUAAACGAUGAGUGCCAGGUGUGGGAGGUAUCGACUCCUCCCGUGCCGGAGUUAACGCAAUAAGCACUCCGCCUGGGGAGUACGGUCGCAAGACUGAAACUCAAAGGAAUUGACGGGGGCCCGCACAAGCGGUGGAGUAUGUGGUUUAAUUCGACGCAACGCGAAGAACCUUACCAAGCCUUGACAUUGAACGCAAUUCUAUGAAAGUAGAAGUCCUCUUCGGAGGCGUGAAAACAGGUGGUGCAUGGCUGUCGUCAGCUCGUGUCGUGAGAUGUUGGGUUAAGUCCCGCAACGAGCGCAACCCCUGCACUGUGUUGCCAGCGAGUAAAGUCGGGGACUCACAGAGGACAGCCCGGGAUAACCGGGAGGAAGGCGGGGAUGACGUCAAGUCAUCAUGCCCCAUAUGGCUUGGGCUACACACGUACUACAAUGGGACGGAACAAAGGGAAGCGAGGCCGUGAGGCGGAGCAAAACCGAAAAAACGUGCCACAGUUCGGAUUGCAGGCUGAAACUCGCCUGCAUGAAGUCGGAAUCGCUAGUAAUCGCAGGUCAGCAUACUGCGGUGAAUACGUUCCCGGGCCUUGUACACACCGCCCGUCACACCACGGAAGUCGAUCACACCCGAAGUACCGCAAGGUCCUAAGGCGGGGUCGGUGACUGGGGUGAAGUCGUAACAA